rfam:Zea mays cultivar B73 chromosome 8, whole genome shotgun sequence.
UGAAGGGCUUUUUUGAAAGCUACACACAUUUUCAUAACGAAAGUGU